rnacentral:lncRNA from 1 species
AUGGCUGGAGUGCUGGCUCUCAAACAACGGUCCCUGUAUAGAGCGAGCAGAAAGAACUUCCAGGGAAAUCUCAUGAGUGAGCAUUUCUGGAAGUCAGCUACCAACUGUGCUCCUCCAUAUCGAUUCCAUCGAAGGCAUAAAGUCUUCAGAGAUUACCAGUGAACAAACGUCUUUAAACCUCUGUCCUGAUUCUUUGAAAUUCAUGAGAUUUGCCUAUCAGGUAAAACUCGAAAUUGGUUUCUGUAACAAAUUCUGCCAUGUAAUUAAUGAAGUAGCCCAGCUUAUCCAGGAAGGAUGGCUUAUCAUCUGUGAGAUAAGUAAAUGGACAUCCA